GGUCCCCACCCCUGCUCCGCCCCCUCCGGGUAGGAAACUCCGAGGAGUGAUUCACGCGUGAUUCAACCGCGCCACCGAGCGCGGUGCUGCCCUUCGGUCCGGCGGCUCCAGGUGCUGCGGGGAACCGGGUCCCCCGGCCCCCAGCGCUCCCCGCCCGGUCCCCGGGUCGCCCAGGCCGGCGACCCCGACGUCCGGCCUGAGUGGGCAGGUCUUGGGGCUGAAAGCGGGGGCGUUUUGGAAGCAGUUCUCGAGGUGGAGGGAAAGGAUUCUUCUCUACCGUUUGGAGACCCAGUGCUGUCCCGGUCGGUGGGAGCGGCAGCACUGACGGGGUCUAACGGCAGGUCAGCGGGAGAUGCUGUUCCGGGAGGAAGAGAACUUGAGAGGGAACGGCUCAGAAGGUGAAGCACAGAGCAUUUUCUGCGACUCUCCUACGUGCCUGUAAGACUCUUCUGCAAAAACUCACUGGGUUCUCCCUUCACCUAAAAGCUCCUGAAACCUCCAUUCUUCAAAGUCUUCUUCAUCAAGAAGGGAUGUUCACAGAAACUAUAAUCCUUAGAAGAAGGCUCCCCCCGCCUCGGCCCCCAGGGCCUACGGCACAGGGCUGUGAAGUCACUGGUCAGGGGUGGAAUGAGACCAGUGGCCAUGGGAUGGACGACGUCACCAGGAUCCAACCUGAACGUCCCCCAAAUGCGCCAAAGACAUCGUGUUCUCACCGGGUGAACCGUGAGAACUGUAACCCACCGGGCCUCUGAUGUGUUAGCUGUGAGAUUGGACCAGUGUGAGCCCACAGAGGUCUGCACGCUUGGAACUACUCAGAGGGAUCGUUAGGAAACACAGCCGCAAAUGCUGCCACUCAACCCAGCUUCAGCGCGUGAUGAAGCGUGUGCUCCAGGGAGGUGCGGAAGAGAGCGUCAUCUUCUUGAUAAGCGUUCUUACUUUACAGUGACAGUGUAGAGUAAACGCACAGUGAAUUCUUACUAGUUGUAGGACAAACCUAAAAAAUCUUUUUAUAUAAGGACAUAGAAAAAUGUAAUGGCCACAGGCCAUGAGAAACAGCCUGUCAGGAUUAAGCAAAUUAUUCAGAAUUUAUUUGAAGCUGUGAGAGCCAUUCCUUUUUUGCACAGCUGAGUCAUGGUGUAAUUGUCAGACAUUCUGUGAGCACACUGAGCAAAUUUCUCCCUGCUAUUCUCUAUCCUAUAUGCUGUUUGUUUCUUUAAUAGUAGUAAUUAUAGGGGUGCCUGGGUGGCUCAGUUGGUAAAGGCGUCUGACUUCGGCUUAGGUCAUGAUCUCGUGUUUUGCAAGUUCGAGCCCCCUGCCAGGCUCUGUGUCGACAGCUCAGGGCCUGGAGCCUGCUCCAGAUUCUGUAUCUCCCUCUCUCUCUGCCCCUCCCCCGCUCAUGCUCUGUCUCUCUCUCUGUCAAAAAUAAACAUUAAAAAAAAUU